rnacentral:rRNA from 1 species
AUUGAACGCUGGCGGCAGGCCUAACACAUGCAAGUCGAACGGUAACAGGAAGAAGCUUGCUUCUUUGCUGACGAGUGGCGGACGGGUGAGUAAUGUCUGGGAAACUGCCUGAUGGAGGGGGAUAACUACUGGAAACGGUAGCUAAUACCGCAUAACGUCGCAAGACCAAAGAGGGGGACCUUCGGGCCUCUUGCCAUCGGAUGUGCCCAGAUGGGAUUAGCUAGUAGGUGGGGUAACGGCUCACCUAGGCGACGAUCCCUAGCUGGUCUGAGAGGAUGACCAGCCACACUGGAACUGAGACACGGUCCAGACUCCUACGGGAGGCAGCAGUGGGGAAUAUUGCACAAUGGGCGCAUGCCUGAUGCAGCCAUGCCGCGUGUAUGAAGAAGGCCUUCGGGUUGUAAAGUACUUUCAGCGGGGAGGAAGGGAGUAAAGUUAAUACCUUUGCUCAUUGACGUUACCCGCAGAAGAAGCACCGGCUAACUCCGUG